ensembl:lncRNA
AGAAACACCCCAAGCAUUGGAGAAUUAAGGAGGGCACAGAGAGAAAUUUUCCCUCCUUGUGAUAAGGGACGAUAAGCAGUAAUUUUAUUGUUUGCCUUUUUUGGAACCAUGGGCACUGUGUGCUGACGUAGCCAUGAAUGCUGCUUUGUGUUUUUUCAUCUGUGUGUGAUAUCCAUCUGUUUGCAGGGAUUGUGUUUAAAGACUAUAAUCUUGUUGAGGCUCAGAUACUGGAGAUUGAGUCUAUAACGGCACGGGAAACAACUUCUAUGAAGAAUUGGGAAUUGAAUUAAAUAAUUGCAUUUAUUGAUGAGAAAUUAUAUUUAACAAUGGAGAACUACCUUAAGUACCUCCUUGCCUACAUCUCCACCUCUGCUCGCUGCCCUGUGCUGCAUCUCCUCUUGGCAGCAGGUCAAGAAAGCCAUGAGAACAAGGCACCAGCUGCAGGGUUAGUCCAUAGCACUGGUCUUCCUUUGAGAUGCUGUCUUUGGCCAACUGAUGCUGGUGAAGGAGUUGCAGAAGGCACAAGGUAGUGAGGACAGCAUGGAAACCUGCUCAGCCCUCACCUCCCAUACAGAGAAGUUUUGCGCAGCUUCCUGAAUAAUUCAGGCUUGUAUCUUCCCUCUGCUUGGACCACGCUUCUUUCUUGUGCUCCUCACUUCUCCCUUCCAGGCUGUUACAGGACAAGAACUGGAGAUGGCAGAACCUGGGUGGGACCGAUGUGAAGAGGCAGUCAGGUUCGUUUGGGUGUUGACUCCUGCUGUGAAUGGCCAACUCCCAUCACAGUUCAGGCCAAGUUCUCACACCAUCAGCAUCUGUCCAGGUGCUCUUGCAGCAGAACCCUGUGCAGGAAGCACAGAUUGCUUCAGAAACAGAAAGUGUUGCAAAAGAAAAUUAAAAGAAUAGAUUCAAAACUUUUGUUUUAUGUCGACUCAUGUGUUCCUCGCUCUCAGAGCUGAUGGCACAGGACUUAUAUUCACAACUGCCACCCCGAAGAGUAAUACUCAGUCUGUGGGGCGGCACUGAUCUCAGAAGUUACCUUCAUUCUUGUAUUGCUUUUGAGAAGCAGCUUUUGUCUUACGUGUUCUCUUUUUUGAUUUUCUGUUUUAUAGAAUCAUAGAAUUGCUCAGGUUGGAAAAGACCUUAAAGAUCAUCAAGUCCAACAACAACCUAACCAUACCGCCCUAACUCUAACAGUCCUCCUCUAAAUCAUGUCCCUGAGCACCACAUUCAAAUGGAUGGUUUUUAAACACAUCCAGGGAUGGUGACUCAACCACCUCCUUGGGAAGUCUAUUUCAGUGCGUAACAACCCUUUCUGUGAAGAAGUUUUUCCUGAUAUCCAACCUAAACUUACCCUUAGUCCAGAAAUAAAAAAAAUAAAUGAAAAAGAAGGGCUUUAUAUCUGUAUAAUAUGGGGGUUUCCUUCCCAGCAGGAGGUGGUUUCUCCUUGGUGCAGCUGCUCCCUGCCAUGCAUUGCUGGGCACUGCAGACAGCACACGGUGACCUCCUGCAGUGUCAAAGACCCCACUGCCGUUGUCCCAGAAAGCUGAAAAGUUUCUAUUUAUAUUGAUUUCUUUGUCUGAGGGUGACAGAGGUUGAAGCUGGACGACUUCAGACCAGGAAAUGAAGGAUAUUUUUCCAGAGGUGAGAAGGUGAAUGUGUGCUAUAACUUACCAGCAGUCUUGGGAAGGAGGGAAAUGAAUUGGAGCUGUUUUUCUAAAGGAUAUAUGCCUUAUUUUUUUGCUGCUUUCCUGUGGUCUGUCUGAUAGGAAGGGGGAGGAAAGAUGUGUUUUCUGACACUAGAAUGCCAGAGAAAUCUCCUGGAAAUAACACUUAAAAUUAUCUGGGGAAAGAAAUCUCUGAUUUCCUUGUUGCUGCAUUUGUGACGUUUGCUCUGCCUCCAGGAUAAUAUCCUCAUAGGGAAGAAAGGCAGGAUGGCACACUGAGAGAAAUAUCUGCUUUUUAGAUGUGGUCUAAUGGUGCUUUUUUCUCCCUUCCUUUUCUGGCCCCAAGGAGCAGAAGAGCUGAAUGUGAUGGUGAAGACCCAUCUCUGGUUUCUGGCUCUAUCUGAAAAGAAGAAAUUCACAUUUCACUCUCUCAUCCUAGAAACAAACCUAGCAUCCCGGUAGGUGUGCACAGAUGGUGCUGAGCCGGGGCAAUGCUUUCUGCUGGCAUUUGGGGCUUGUGUGGGACGUGAGCAUCUGGAGGCAGUGGUCACAGCAGCCCCAGGCCUGUCCCAUAGAGCGCGAUGUCUUUGGGUAGUUGGGUUGCAGCUGUAGGUGCUGUGUGGGGCACUCCUAAAUUUGUGACCUGUCAGGAGAUACCAGUAACUGUUUAACGUGGUUGGCUUAGGCUCAUUUGGUUUUUUUGGUAAUGCUUCGUGUAGUUUUGGAAUUGGUGAGGAGCUUAAAACUGAAGGCUGCUCAGGCAUUGGAUUGUUUUGUGUAUUCUCAACUCAUCACCACUUCAUUGUGGAGCUCCUGUACUCUGAGCUAUCGGCCAGAUGUCAGCCAGUUCAGCCCAGUAGGUGCUGCUCCUUCUGGCCUUGCAACCUCCAGUGGGCUCUCAGCAGCUGCAUUUCACUUUUGGAAGUUGUUCAAAUGACCUGGAGCAGAAAUGUGCCGGAAUACAAGUGGUGGAAGGUGCAGUUCUUGACAACGGUCCCUUACGCUGCUUAUGGGAGUACACAACCACUGCUACAUUUUAGUGAUCAUUCAAAAGAUAUGGCUUUGCUUUAUUUUUAAAGAAAUCAGAUGUUUCCAUGUAAUCACUCCCAGUUGAGAGCAGUAACUUUUAAUUGAGCUGCGAUUAGCUCCUUAAACUACCUGCAUCCGAUGGCAGAAAUACACUGCACCUUCUGCAAUUGGGAAAUUGAUUGCUUGGCUGUGCGUUCCUGGUGGUAAAUAUGGCGCUCCUUAACAUGACAAUGGAUCGAUGGCUCAGGGGGUGGAUUUCUUUCUUUUAAAACAAUGAGAGCUGAGUAUGUCCCAACCCACUGCUCCCUACCAGAAAACAGAAAGAAGAAAAACCAAAAGAGAGAUGCUGAAUAUCAAAAUAUGAAGCAGAUCUGAUAACGUGUCUCUACAAAUUAUCCAUUCUUUUUUAUUAGCUUAGUGAUGGCUCCAGCUCAGCAUUCUCGGUCUUCCUUUUGCCUCCCACAGAUGUUAAAGUUGUGUAUACAUUUAAAAAACAGACAUUGAUACAUAUGGAGUAAUUACGCCAAACAGCUGUUAAUGAACCCUUACCUGCUGCUUCCAUAUAUAUUAAACAGAAUUUUUGAAC